rnacentral:lncRNA from 1 species
GUUAAGAAUUUUGUUUAGUGUCAACUUUAUUCACUGAGGGUACUUCCUCAAAAGGCUGAACCCAGGAAUGCUGGGAGCUUUUGGUUAACACCUUUAGACUAUUAGAAUCUGAAGAAGACUGCGAGCGAUCUGAAUGCAACACUCGGAGCACUCAAAUGUGAGCAGAAAUACAGCUUUUCAUGUAAACUAAGUGAAGAAGGAGACAACAGCUCAACAAGCAUAAAGGGAGAUGCUCAGGCUUGUUGGCAAUCAGACAGUGGUAAGAUGGACACCUAAAGUGUGAUGAGUACGCCCCAGGAAAUGUUUUGCAGCAGGGAGAAGCAAUGGACUGGAUGUAUACAUCAAAGCCAAGAUGGAUCUUUAAGACAUAGAAAGAAGGGGAAAAUGUAAUAAACAAAAUGGUCUUGCUUUGUUGCCCAGCCUAGCGUGCAGUGGUGUGACUCUAGCUCACUACAGCCUCUGACCUCCCAGGCAUAAGUGAUCCUCCUGCCUCAGCCUCCCACCAUCAGGACUGCAGGGAUGCGCCACUACAAUCAGUGAAUAUUUUUAAAAUUUAUUUUUGUGCAGAGACCGGGCCUUACUAUGUUGCCCAGGCUGGUUUUAAACUAAUGGGCUCAAGCUAUCCUCCUGCCUUGGCUUCCCAAAGUGCUGGAACUGCAGGCAAGAGCCACCAUGCCCAGCUUCUUCUCUCUUUUAACUUUAUUUGUACAUUGCCUUAAUCUUUCAGAACAAUGUUUAACAAUGAACAUAAUAAUGGC